CCCUCGUCUGCCGGAGCCCGCGCGUCCCGCCGCCCGACUUCGCCGCCGCCUGGAGCCGGCUGGCCGCGACCUCAGCCGCCCGCCGCCCGCCGGGGAGUCCUGCGUAUGGAAACUCACAUGAGUCAGCUCAGUCUAGAAGGGCAGUAAUUUCUCAUAAUAUGGAUAAAGCUCUGAAGGAAGUGUUCGACUACAGUUAUAGAGAUUACAUUCUGUCCUGGUAUGGAAACCUCAGCAGAGACGAGGGACAACUUUACCAUCUGCUCUUGGAAGACUUCUGGGAAAUUGCCAGACAGCUGCACCACAGACUGAGUCACGUGGAUGUGGUUAGAGUUGUCUGCAAUGAUGUUGUGAGGACUUUGCUCACUCAUUUCUGUGACCUGAAAGCUGCUAAUGCCAGACAUGAAGAACAGCCAAGACCUUUUGUGUUGCACACAUGCUUGAGGAACUCAGAUGAUGAAUCUUGAAGCCGGUAGUGGAGUUACUGAGUAAUCCAGAUUACAUUAACCAAAUGCUGCUUG
rnacentral:sRNA from 1 species